ACAGUUUUGACUGGGCUGAGCGGGAACUGUACUUCCUCAGUGGUAGGGAGGCGAGCAGGCCAGAGGUGGAUGAACGCAGUGCCCUUGUUUGGGUGUAGGGCCUGAUCAGAGCCUGGAGUUACUGAGGUGCCGUUCCCCUCACAGCUCCGUAGGCAAGCACCAUGGUCUUGUAGCGGAUGCGAGCUUCAACUGGAAGCCAGUGGAGAGAGUGGAGGAGCGGGGUGACGUGAGAGAACUUGGGAAGGUUGAACACCAGACGGGCUGCGGCGUUCUGGAUGAGUUGCAGGGGUUUAAUGGCACAGGCAGGGAGCCCAGCCAACAGCGAGUUGCAGUAAUCCAGACGGGAGAUGACAAGUGCCUGGACUAGGACCUGCGCCGCCUCCUGUGUGAGGCAGGGUCGUACUCUGCGGAUGUUGUAGAGCAUGAACCUACAGGAACGGGCCACCGCCUUGAUGUUAGUUGAGAACGACAGGGUGUUGUCCAGGAUCACGCCAAGGUUCUUAGCGCUCUGGGAGGAGGACACAAGGAGAAGGACACAAUGGAGUUGUCAACCAUGAUGGCGAGAUCAUGGAACGGGCAGUCCUUCCCUGGUGAGAUGGUGAGAUGGUGACAUUAUUGGACAUAUAUUGAAACGUUUUUGGGGGAUAUAUAAUUAAAUUCUAAUGAAUUUCUUCAAAUUGCAGGAGACGUAGGAGGUAAAUUCUAAAUUAUUUUAUUGGUUUUAGAACUUAAGCAAAUUUAAAUAAAUUGCACUAACUUCAGUAGCAAGUAGCAGUAGCUUGCUAGCUACCUGCUUAAGUGUGCAGUUUUUGCCGCCAACGCAAAUUUAGUUGACUUUUUGUUGAAGAGCCCCUUCUCUGGGGUACAUGGGGUACAUGGAAAAGGUGCUAAUUAAAACCGAAGGUCGACCUCUGCUUGAGAUCAGUUAUAUGAAGAAGGAUGAAAAGGUAAGGGUGUUCAAUACCAAUUGGUAUCAAAAUUAUAGCUUGUUAACAGGGAGCAUCAAGCCGCCUGUAUUACUGGCCUUGCCUGCUGUUUGGAAAGUCAGCCUUGGGUGAAAGAGGGGUACAGUGACCUGAAGAACAUUGAUCGUUCAGCUAAACGCCCCCCAAAAAAGCAGGGAGCAUAUAAAUGCCCACAUCAAUCAUGACGAAGGUCUGCAUAUUGAAACGAGAAAUUAAGAAGAAACAGGGAUGUUCUCAAGCAACUUAUCAACACCACUGCGUUUUUGGGGAAGCAAGAAUUGGCUUUUAGAGGACACGACAUGAGGGAAAGUUCAGCCAACAAGUGCAACUACAAGGAGCUUGCAGCAGUAAUUGCAUGUUUCAGUGCUUUCCUGGCUGAACAUAUGACACUUUGUACUGUCUACUUUCAACGGUCUUUUUCUGGGAUGUUGAAAUCAAUUCAAUGGCUUCUGUCCAUUAAAAGUUUGAUUAAAGAGAGAGGUUGACGCAGCAAUUUUUUUCAUGCGCGCUCAAGUAGGCUUUCCACUUUCCUCUGGUAUUUAUUUACCAUUGAUGAUAACAGUUUAUGUAUACUGGCUUAAUUUUGCUGGUACCUGCUGUUUUGGCAGUACCUAAUGGGGAUUCAUAAUAAAUGCAAAUAACACAUAAUCACUCUGGACAGACACAAGCAAAAACUCAUUCCAUAAAUGCAGCAGCCUCGGCUACGCCUAAAUAUUAGAGAUCUGACAUGCGGUAUAGGAUGAAAACGAGACCAUUUUUCAGUCUGAUCAACUGUAGGCUACUAAUAAGAGCAGCUGCAUACAGCCUAUGUGCACUGUCCAUCUGGUCAGGGUAAACUAAUUGGUAACGGUAUGUAUUUAUAUUCCAUUUGUGUGUCAGGAGAAAAUGUGAAUGUGAUCAAAUGUGGUUUAUAUUCGAAAUUGGGCUGGCUAGGCUGCCUAUACGUUUUCAAUCCAGAAUGAUUAACUGGAAUUAAUCAAUCAACAUAUUAGUGAUGACAGAUGUGAGUUAAUUUUAAUAAAGGCCUACAGUUGUACAGGCCUGCAUGAUGCAAACAUGCAUAAAGCUAGCUCAACCCAGUGAGUUCUAUAGUCUAUCAGUUGUCUCUGUGUUUGGGUAGAGGGAAUCCCCCUCCUAAUCUAGUCUAAAUAUAAUUCAUAUGAAGUAUAAGGUUGCUGCAGUUUGACAGGGUUUUCACCCCCACCCCCCACCCCCAGGGCGAGGAGUUUUUUUUUUUUAACCAUGUGACCUGAUUUGGAAAAAACGUUCCCAUCAUAGCCCUUAUAAAACCUUUUUACAAGUGAUUAAUCACUGUCAUACCUUAUAGGGUCCAGAGUUAUCCUGGUUAGAUUAACAGACCUAUGGUGCCACCAGUCCGCUUGCAGUUGUCAGUUAUCGUCAGGUAUGUGGAUGAUCAGGAAUUAAUUCAGAAACAUUUAUUUGGCUACUUUGAUGUUUCAAAUGGGCGAGAUGCGCAGUCUGUGUUUAACUUCAUGGACAAACUUGUUGUUCAAACCUACAAUGGCGCAGCUGUAAUGGAAUGUAUCUGCUAUUUGUAUUUACAGCUAAGUCCCCUCCUGUUCCCUUAUUAAGAGGUGAUGACCACUCCACUCCACUACCAUCGUCAACUCUCUCCUGACAUGAACUGAAGCCACGUAUCAUGUGCCCGCUCAUCCACUGGCACAUUGAAUGUUUCCCUAUCAAUUGUCUCUCAUUACUGUAUGUAGAGUCAAUCACACACACAACCAUAAUCACACUAUUACACAUCAAUGAUUUUACUCCUUGCUUGGACUAACUCAUUAUUAGCUCUGUUGUCUAACUGUGUAGUGUGUUGUGUUAUUGUUUUGUGUCUUUCCAGCCAAAACCUAUCCUGCACUAAAGUCAAGCCUCUGAACACCUCAGCUGAUGCCACAUACCCUCAUUCAAUCACUGCUGUGAUUUCUUCCUAACACUGACAACGGGAGGAUACAGAAUGUUAAUACUACACAAGGGUUAAGACUGAAGAAUACAACCCAACAUUGCAGACUGUGAUCACCAUGGAAGUGUGUGUGCGCCAAUCAAACAAUUCCUACUGGUUUUCAAUCUCCCAGCUAUGGCCUCAGAACCUGGCUGGCCUCGUUUAGCUGUGAGAGGGGGAUGACUCCCCUAUUAUCUCUCCCCUGAGAUAACACCGUUAAAGAUACCCACUUUCACUAAACGCAUGGGAGGAUACUUUGAUGUUCCCUUCGCUGGGAAGGAUAUUCCAUGUAUUGCGACAAAGCGAAAAUUCCCAAAACCUCUGAAUUAAUGGCAGACAAGUCCCCGCUUGGGAGAAAAUUACCCAAAGGAAUAAGGAAUAACAUUGUGAAAUAUAAGUAUUACAUUGAUUUAUUUCACCAAAUGUUGUUAAAAUGUUGGACAAAUUACUUUCAUAUACAUUUUUAAUUCAGAUCAGACCGCUAGCUAGUCGAUUUCAUCCUGGUUAUCAGCUGUUUAGCGAUAAACAACUAAACAAACUAAUUGUAAAAUUGUGAAGACCCGUACAGUUUUUUUAUCCUGAAUUGGUUAACUUGCUAGCCAGCUGGUGACAAAUGUAGCAAAUCUUUAUUUUAUGGGGACAGAUGGCAACUGCGUUCAUUUCGCUCCCUGACAUUGGCAGGACAAAAUAGUUUUGGCCAACUGGUUGAGGCAAGACAACAUCUGAUUCAAAUGUAGGAAUUGCAGCUGUGUUCUGUUCAAUCUAGGCUUGCUACCCACCCAAGUUAUUUGUGCAUUCUUACAUGAUCAGUCAAUACACGCAUGCAGUGUCUGUUUACCUAACGUUAGCUAACUUUUAUCUUGUGUAUAAAAUGUGUUAAAUAUUGAAAUGAUCAAUUAAAAGUAAAUUGCUGA